rfam:Punica granatum cultivar Dabenzi scaffold6294, whole genome shotgun sequence.
AAAAAGGUCCUUUUCAGGACCAACAUUUAUGUCUUAAAGGACGCC